CAUAUCUUGUUUUCUUUAUGAUUUUUAUUCUAAAUUUCAUGUUUUUUAAUUUAUUUAUAUAAAUUUAUAACCUUAUAAGUGAAGCAAGUCAAGAAACAAAACAUUUCAAGUCAGACUCAGUUAUCUCACUCUCCCUGCUUCCCUCUGACUCAACAUCCUUUUUUUUUUUUUUUUUUGCAGAACCGUAACAACGGGUUGACGCGACAACCACCGCCUGCUCUACCGGCGCGACCUCACGGUUACCGGGGCAAUGGGGGAUUCCUGGCGCAGCGAGCGACGUGAUUGGCCGAGCCCGGCAAAGAGUUCUUAAAUGGGUCAAAGCAGUCAAGUGUCUCCACCAAGGAGGUGUAAAAUGUGUGUGCGCGUCUCCGAGUGUGUGACUGUGCAUCCAGGCAGACUGGGAACAGACUUCAUCAUCCGACUGCACAUGCAGCGAAAAGGAUCGGCCUGUGCGGUUAUAAAAGCGCCCACCCACUCCCUUCCUCUCCGACGCUUCCUGUCAGGCUCUGAUGUCCUUCGUUAUUUCAUCAAUUUUUUUUUGUUUUUCUGCUCCCUCCACCAAUCUCUCUCCGACUUGCAUGUUUGACAGUCACCCAUCUGUUUGUGCCGGGGCCGCGGAGGACAACACUGACCCCAAAUGGCCGUGAUACGAAAUGCUUUUCAGCGCUCUGAAAGCGCAUCAGAGGACUGAUGCAACAUGCUGCCAUAUUAGUGUGAAAGGAUCGGCCUUGGCAGGUUUUAUUGCACACGUCCAUCCUCAUCAGGUGUUGGGAUGCAUUCACCCAGUGCAGUUGCCCGAUGCAGAUCUUAGCGGCCAGCAGGGGCAGCGAGGGAUCGUCUGGUCUCAUCCUGGCACAUUCUUUCAACACAGACACAGCGGCGACCCACUGUGAAACACACACGCCAGAACGAUGACAAACUACCUCCACACAGUGGAUACACAAACAGAGAGGAAACUGACGUCCCUGGAAGACCAGAUGCCCAAACUGGACUGAUUAUUACAAAUAUUCAAAGAGUUCAAGAACUUUCCAAGACGGGAAGAAGCCAGAGGCGCUGAGCAACCUUGGGCUCGACGCCAAGCCAAAUCAAAUAAGCAGACAGCUGCCAACUGUCAGACAUCAUCCAUGUCUGACUUGAUUCCCACAGCAGCUAGUUUCAUAUCCCACAGAGAGGCCUGAGAAAGAGCCAACGGUAAAUAUAAUUCAGGGGGAAUCAAAACAAGCAGAGGAAAUCUAAAUCUGACAGUUAUUGGUGUAAUAUUCCUUAAUGUUUCAUGAGCAUGAGGUCAUGUCCGACUAUCAGGAAACGGAGAGGGGGGUGGUAACGACAUAAUGAUGAUGAGUGAAACGAGAUUACACCGAGUCCGGGUGUUGUGUUCUGUGAAUCUGAUCUAUGGCGAUCGGAGUGUAGCGACGAAUCUCCCUGACAAAACGCCAAAAUACUUUACAACUUUACCCCAAAACUGUCACAUUUCACUCUCUGAUGCGACGUUAAAGCAAGAAAAAUAGGAUUUCUUUAACAGUGACAAGCUCAAGUUAGGACUCAGAUCUUGGAAAAACACAGAGCGUUCCUUGACCCGACUAUCUACCCGAUCAAGCUGAUGGUUUCCAGCCGUGUCCCAUCUGCCUCGUAAAAUACUCGCCAUGCAUCUUAGAUCCACAUACAAGGUCAAUUUGGUUUUACUCCUCCCAUAACUACCAGGAAAGGAGCCUGAAGUUUGGUUUGCUUGUUCUUUUAUAGAUAGGUUGGCUUGAAAGGUGACUGAUGAACGCUACAGUAUAAAAAUGAGGUGACACUCACAGGCGUCCUUCAUUCUUACUGCAAUUUCAUAUAGAAUAAUUACACAAAAUCAUAUAUUUCCAGCAUUAUGUUCUAUUAGAUUUAAUGAUUAUGGCUUACGGCUAAUAUGUAUAUUUGUAUUUUACAGAUUUGAACCAGUGAAGCUAAAUCGAUGCCAUUUGAGGAGUUCUGGAUGGAGCAUAUUUACAGACAGGAUUUGUCAGUGUGGGGCAUUCUGGGUAAAUACAACUAAAACAAAUGGAGAAAUGACUCGUGGUAUUUUACCAAAUACAAAAGAGAAAUCCUACAACCGCU